rnacentral:rRNA from 1 species
AUUGAACGCUGGCGGCAUGCCUUACACAUGCAAGUCGAACGGCAGCACGGGAGCAAUCCUGGUGGCGAGUGGCGAACGGGUGAGUAAUAUAUCGGAACGUGCCCAGUCGUGGGGGAUAACGUAGCGAAAGCUACGCUAAUACCGCAUACGAUCUAUGGAUGAAAGCGGGGGAUCGCAAGACCUCGCGCGAUUGGAGCGGCCGAUAUCAGAUUAGGUAGUUGGUGAGGUAAAGGCUCACCAAGCCGACGAUCUGUAGCUGGUCUGAGAGGACGGCCAGCCACACUGGGACUGGGACCCGGGCCAGACUCGUACGGGAGGCAGCAGUUGUGAAUUUUGGACAAGGGGCGCAAGCCUGAUCCAGCAAUGCCGCGUGCAGGAUGAAGGCCUUCGGGUUGUAAACUGCUUUUGUACGGAGCGAAAAGGCUUCCACUAAUACUGGGGGCUCAUGACGGUACCGUAAGAAUAAGCACCGGCUAACUACGUGCCAGCCGCCGCCGUAACAC